GAAUUUUUUUCAUUAUCUACUGCACAAGAAGCAACUAUUGUUGAGGACUAAUUUGUCUCCAAGUUAGUUUGGUUUUAAAGUUCUUGAGAUUAAUGAAGUUUUUGAAGUUUGGUUGAAGCAAUUGUGAAGGAUUGAAGUUAUUGUGGAGUUUGAUGAGUAGAUUAAUUUAUUUGAAUUCUUGGAUUGUUUGUGGGUUGAAUUAUGUUGAACUAUGUUGGUUGAACUAUGUUGGAUGUUGUAGAACUUUUUUUGUUGAACUAUGUUGGAUGUUGUAUGAAUUAUGUUGAUGAAUUAUGUUGGAUGUUGUAUGAAUUAUGUUGUAGAACUAUGUUGGAUGAAUUAUGUUGAACUAUGUUGGUUGAACUAAUUUAUUGAUGGAAUAGAUAGAUUUUUAACUU